rnacentral:rRNA from 1 species
GACGAACGCUGGCGGCGUGCUUAACACAUGCAAGUCGAACGGGAUCCGGGCUUUCGGGUUUGGUGAGAGUGGCGAACGGGUGAGUAACACGUGAGUAACCUGCCCCCUUCUUUGGGAUAACGUCGGGAAAUCGGCGCUAAUACUGGAUAUUCUUGCUGCAUCGCAUGGUGGGGUUUGGAAAGGGUUUCUGGUGGGGGAUGGGCUCGCGGCCUAUCAGCUUGUUGGUGGGGUGAUGGCCUACCAAGGCUUUGACGGGUAGCCGGCCUGAGAGGGUGUCCGGCCACACUGGGACUGAGACACGGCCCAGACUCCUACGGGAGGCAGCAGUGGGGAAUAUUGCACCAUGGGCGCAAGCCUGAUGCAGCGACGCCGCGUGAGGGAUGACGGCCUUCGGGUUGUAAACCUCUUUCAGUAUGGAACAAGGAUCCUUCUUGUGGGGGGUUUGAGGGUACGUGCAGAAGAAGCGCCGGCUAACUACGUG